AAGGAAAGGGGGAAUUUUCAGUCAACUGCAGGAAAUCUUCCAAGCAGCUGCUAUUCACCUGUCAGCAAGGAAGGAAUUAAAGAACAAAACAACAGAAGCGCUGAAAUUGCCAAUCUACUGGCGGGAAAAAAGGGAUUCCCGUUGAAGUGACAACAUUUUUCAACACCGAGGCGCUGCUGUGAGCCAGCUGACCGGGGGCUGGCAAAGGGCGGCACGGGAUAUUCUGUCACCUGGAAGUCCCUGGACGCAACUGCCUGCUGACAUGUUGGUCCUGUGCUGUAAUCCCAUGGGGAGAAACAUCUUCAGGCUUUCACAUAGCCCAGGAAACCCGAGCCUGGGAGGGACUGGCAAGCGGAACGGCUGCUGCUCCCCCAUGAGCAAGCGUCCUGCGCAUGAAGAACGAGCGGCUUUCCAGGCUGCGCGGCAGCGAUCGUCCUCGCAGCGCGGCAAGUUUACCAUCGUAUUUUGCCUACAGCUGCAUUAGCAGGAGCUUGUCCAAGCUGAUUCUGAUUUUUGUACCAGCUCGGGACAUGCUUCCUGGCGAACUGGCAUCCCCAAGCGGCAUAGCUUCGACGCUCACAGUUUUUUCUUACGAACAGAGAACAAGAAGGCACUCGUCGAACUUCGAAAGGCAACGCUUGACAGUGGAGAAAAGGAAGUACUGCAUUUAACU